AGGAGAGGGAGCCGAACGCGCAUUUAAAGCGAUAGCCAUGCUCGCUCUCUCCCCAGUGCUGGGCUGUUGGAGAGCUCGAGCUGCAAGCCACCGAGCGCGAGCUCGAGCGCGGCGCGCUGGCCGGGGAACCCAAGAGCGCACGGCGCCCCAAGAUGGCAGGCGCCGCGGGACCCCCCACCCUCGCCGGCUGCCCUUUCCCGGGCGCCCCUACCCUCCUCGCCCGCAGGAGACCCUGGGCUUCCCCGGAGGAGCUCACCCCAAGGGGCCAGGACUCCGGCGAGCCCGCCACCGUCCCCUCGAGUGCCGCCGCCACCACCGCAGCCGCGGGAGCAGCAUGGUCCAGCUGGGGAAGCUGCUCCGCGCCCUGACUUUGAUGAAGUUUCCCUGCUGCGUGCUGGAGGUGCUUCUGUGCGCGCUGGCGGCGGCGGCGCGCGGCCAGGAGAUGUACGCCCCGCACUCCAUUCGGAUCGAGGGGGACGUCACCCUCGGGGGGCUGUUCCCGGUGUACGCGAAGGGUCCCAGCGGAGUGCCCUGCGGCGAUAUCAAGAGGAAGAACGGGAUCCACGGGCUGGAAGCGAUGCUCUACGCCCUGGACCAGAUCAACAGCGAUCCCAACCUGCUGCCCAACGUGAGGCUGGGAGCGCGGAUCCUGGACACUUGUUCCAGGGACACUUAUGCGCUCGAACAGUCGCUCACUUUCGUCCAGGCGCUCAUCCAGAAGGACACCUCCGAGGUGCGCUGCACCAACGGCGAGCCUCCGGUUUUCGUCAAGCCCGAGAAAGUAGUUGGAGUGAUUGGGGCUUCGGGGAGUUCGGUCUCCAUCAUGGUAGCCAACAUCCUGAGGCUUUUCCAGGUUGAUGGGCGCUACGGGAUAAGGAAAAGGAUGUGAAGCUCACUGAAGAGGCUUGGGUUGGGAGUGCUGGAGGAGUGUACAUGUGGGGAAAAUGUACCAGUGUGUAUGCCUACUGGGACCACGUUUUCCAGAACAGUUAAGCCCAGUGUCAACUAUGCUGUCCCACCUUCCUCGGGUGUCCAGAGAAGGUAACUACUUUGCCCACGUCCUAAACUGGUAAGUAACAGAUUAAGAAUUCAAGUCUAGGAAGUCUGAUUCCAGAGCCCACACCUCUACCCUUUCUGCAUGUAGAGAGGAGUAAAGGGUUGUCAGUGAAGCCUUCCUGGGGGCCCUGGCCUCUGAGUGUAGAUAGAAGGAUGAGUGGACAUAAAGAUCAUUAUUUGUGUGUGGUGGGGGUAGGGGAGGAAGUAUGAGGGCUUCCAGAAGAGCCCGCCCUCCCCAUACAUCUGCUAUAAGCAAGUCUGAUGAUCAGGAGUCCGGAACAUGAGUAUGACUAUGGGAUACUGAGAAGGGUUCUAGAACCCUGAGGUUAGAGUUCUGGAUCAGUUAGUAGGUAACAGAAAGUGAAUGAGUGAUUUACCUUACUUUCCACGGGUAGCAGGAAGUUUGGAGAUAGUCCCUCUAGCGUUAGUCCAGCUGCUGAAGGGCAUCACCAGGGGACUGGGUUGCUUCGCUCUUCCACCUUCCACAUCUCUAGCACGUCCACAUAGCUUCAAAGUGACCCCAGAAUCUCCAAUAGUGUUCCAACAAUUGGGGCAGGAAGAAAGAAAAGGAAAAAAAAAAGAAAUUAAGUAAGAAAAAAAAGGCAGUGUCUAACUCAGAGAGCAAAUUUUUUACCACAGAUGGUCAGCAGACUUGCACUUAGAUCUCAUCAGCUCGGAUUUUAAACUGGCCACCUUAGCCUUAAGGAUAAUGGGGUCUCCUAAACCAGGGCUCUGAUAGUAAGGAAUAAGGAGAGAGUGGUACUGAUUAGCAGUGCCUGCUGUCCCAAACAAAUAUUAUCCCCAAACUAUUUUUUUUAUCCUAUAUUUUACUUUAAAGAAUGGAGGGGAAGCAUUAUGUAUCUGUAAAUAGCCUUUUAGAAAGGGUACAAUUAUAUAGUUAUACAACCCCCUGGAGGGCUCCUUUCUUCUAAAAUCUCUUUAAAAACUGUUCAAGGUUAAGGACAUUUUUAUCUUAAUUUAGUCACUUGCAGUAGAUUAUCUUGGAAUGACAUCCUCUCUCUGCAGAUGUUCUGUCAGGCUUUAGAAGAUUCUAGAAGUGGACAGAGAAGUGUUAUGGUACAUGUAUUUGCAAUAUGCACGUCUUUGAAAUGAAAUCCAUUUAGGGACCAAAAGGCAUUUCAUGUCUUUGCUAUACAUUUUCACAUAUUUGCCUUUCCAGAAUUCCUUUGAGCAAAUCUGUUAGAUGUAACCCAUCCGUUUCUCCCAUCUGAAUUCUUUAUUACUAAACAUUCUUCAGUAUGCUCUCACUCCCCUCUGUCAAAGGCGUUUCUCUGGGUCCUCACCCUUCUCAUCUCAUAUGUGAAUGCGUAUCUUAAACUGAAGCAACAGUCUGCUAUGACUUCUCCAUAACUUGAAGAACCCGUCUUUGUGGGAAGAAAAGUAGACUUA